AAGACUGUGAAGCAAGUGGCCCUCCAGGAAAGCUACUAGUACUGCUUGAGAUCACCUCAUCAUGCAAGUUAUUUUGAUCUCCACUCCUAAGCAGCUCAGCAUACUGAAGAAUAUGACGAUACUCGUGAGGAGGAGGAAAUGAUCGAUUAGAAUGAGAAUGAGAAACUUGCUGAUCGGCUACAACUCGGGCGUCUUGGCGAGUUGUAAGAUAACCAUACUCACUUUUCC
rnacentral:lncRNA from 1 species